UGCCAAAAGCUCCCUCCUCCCUUGAGGAGUCUGGGACGAAGUAGUCUUAUCCUGUUAGCCUAGAAGGAGUGCCUCGGGUUAUCUGAUCUAUCCAUCAGAGUCCUAAGUGAGUUUCAUUCCAUCACCGACCUCACCCUUUAGACAGUGAGGUAGACCAUGAGUCCAGCUGGAUGGACCCAUUGAUCAGGUAUCUACAAGAGCGGUUGCUGCCAGAAGAUUGAGCUGAACUUG
rnacentral:lncRNA from 1 species